UGAGGAAUAUUGGUCAAUGGCCGAGAGGCUGAACCAGCCAAGCCGCGUGAGGGAAGAAGGUACAGAGUAUCGUAAACCUCUUUUGUCGGGGGAACAAAAGCGGGGACGCGUCCCCGUCUGCGUGUACCCGAGAAAAAGACAUCGGCUAACUCCGUGCC
rnacentral:rRNA from 1 species